rnacentral:misc_RNA from 1 species
UCCGGUUUGUCACCGGCAGUCUGGCGUGAGUCCCCAACUUAAUGCUGGCAACACGCCACGGGGGUUGCGCUCGUUGCGGGACUUAACCCAACAUCUCACGACACGAGCUGACGACAGCCAUGCAGCACCUGUGCAGGCUCCCGAAGGAGCACCGGCUUUCACCGGUUUCACCCUGCAUGUCAAGCCCAGGUAAGGUUCUUCGCGUUGCGUCGAAUUAAACCACAUGCUCCGCUGCUUGUGCGGGCCCCCGUCAAUUCCUUUGAGUUUCAGUCUUGCGACCGUACUCCCCAGGCGGAUGACUUAACGCGUUAGCUGCGCCACCGAAGCUCCAAGAGCCCCGACAGCUAGUCAUCAUCGUUUACGGCGUGGACUAC